UGGGGAAUUUUCCGCAAUGGGCGAAAGCCUGACGGAGCAACGCCGCGUGCGGGAGGACGGCCUGUGGGUUGUAAACCGCUUUUCUCAGGGGAGAUGAUGACGGUACCUGAGGAAUCAGCAUCGGCUAACUCCGUGCCAGCAGCCGCGGUAAUACGGAGGAUGCAAGCGUUAUCCGGAAUUAUUGGGCGUAAAGCGUCCGCAGGUGGUUAUGCAAGUCUGCUGUUAAAGAGUGGGGCUUAACUCCAUAAGGGCAGUGGAAACUGUGUGACUAGAGUGUGGUAGGGGCAGAGGGAAUUCCCAGUGUAGCGGUGAAAUGCGUAGAUAUUGGGAAGAACACCAGUGGCGAAGGCGCUCUGCUGGGCCAUAACUGACACUGAGGGACGAAAGCU
rnacentral:rRNA from 1 species